AAAAAAAACAAUAUUGCAAAAUGUAUGUACGGUACGUGCCAUACGAAGUCAAUGUUGUCUCAUUUUUUUCGUCCGCUGUUUUCCUUCUUCUUUCCUUUUUUUCUUUCCUUUCUUUCUGUCCGACU
rnacentral:ribozyme from 14 species